rnacentral:rRNA from 1 species
CAAUAGCGUAUAUUAAAGUUGUUGCAGUUAAAAAGCUCGUAGUCGGACCUCUGGCAGCGGGGGGCGGUCCGCCGCAAGGUGUGCACUGCACCGCGUUGCCAUCCUCUUGAGGACCGCUUGUGCCCUUAAUUGGGUGGGAGCGGGACUCAAGACCUUUACUUUGAAAAAAUUAGAGUGUUCAAAGCAGGCUUACGCUUGAAUACAUUAGCAUGGAAUAAUGGAAUAGGACUUUGGUUCUAUUUUGUUGGUUUCUAGGACCGAAGUAAUGAUUAAUAGGGAUAGUUGGGGGCAUUAGUAUUUAAUUGUCAGAGGUGAAAUUCUUGGAUUUAUGAAAGACUAACAUCUGCGAAAGCAUUUGCCAAGGAUGUUUUCAUUGA